CAUGUCACAUGGAAACUGGUUCCCAUUUGAUCACUAAAGUUAAACAAUGUCGAGCCUGGUCAGUACCUUGAUGGGUGACUACUUGGGAAUACCAGGUGCUGUGA